CUCGGUCCUGGUUAGGUCAUUAACAACAUUACUAACCACUGUUAGCAAAUUUUUUAAACAAUUUGUUUUUGCAAUGAAUACAAGGGUGCCUAUGCUACAAGCUACAACUCCUCCCGAGGAAAGGCAGAGAGAGAGAGACACACUAAUGA